CCCUGGGGCGCGCACAUUGGCUGGGACCCCCCCAGGACCCGCCCCCGCUGGGGGGCGCGAAGCAGCGCCGCCAUGUUCCCCUGGAGGGACGGUGAGGGCCGGCGGUCUCGGGACGUUUAAAGGGCAAAUUAAAGUUAUCUGGUGGCUGAGGGGAACGCGAUGUCAGAGCAUGUGCCUGCUGUAUUAAUAGCUCGCGGGAGGCACCCGAGGGGACCCAGGAAUACCUCGGGCGGCAAUAACUGUUUGUAGGGGCUGGUGGCCGGCGCUGAGGGUGCUGCAGGUGCAGGCUUUGCAUGCGUGGCCUCGAACCUCUGUGGUGCGUGCGCUGCAGGAGGGAGUCGGGCUGCAGAGCCCCCGGGGAAAAGGUGAUCAUAGAAUCAUGAAAUGGCCUGGGUUGAAAAGGACCACAAUGAUCAUCUAGUUUCACCCCCCUGCUAUAUGCAGGGUCACCAACCAGUAGACCAGGCUGCCCAGAGCCACAUCCAGCCUAGCCUUGAAUGCCUGCAGGGAUGGGGCAUCCACAGCCUCCUUGGGCAAUGUGUUCCAGUGAUGUGGCGGUGUGCACGUGUCUGUGAGCUUUUGGGGGAACUAGAAACGGGUGAGGCCUCUGUGAGACAAGGACAUGGAGCCUCCUUGUGUCUGAUGCAGCGUGAGCCUCCCACCCUUGAGGUCUUCAACAUCCCGACGUGCUCCAGAGGCUGCCUUCCCAUAGAGGAGGCAGCGUGUCCUCCUGCAGCGUGCCCUGGUUUCAACCCAGCAAGGUCAGACCCUCUGCAAGCGCUGCAGUCAGUCACCUCUGCAGGAAGCACGUGCUUAGGAAUCAAGCUCAGGUUGCCUGACUCGCACCCUGUGUGAGAGGUCAGUGAGGGCUGCAGCAAAACCUUGCCUCUCUUCAGUGUAUAGGGAAGCACUUCAGUCUCAAAUGCGGGUUAUGUGGCCUUCUUCAUGUGUUUCCUCUGGCUGCUGUCUGUACGAGCUUGUGGUUUGCUGUGGCAUGGAGUAGUUAUGUGAAAGCCAGUGCAACGAGUUGUAAGUGUAUACCAAGGAAUUUGCUUUAAAACAGUCAUCAUAUGUGGUUCUAGGAUGAUACUGUACUGAGGAAAGCUGAGGUUAAUAAGGUCAGCUUUAAUUCGGUAAGAUAGUAUCAAUAAUGGAAAUAGAAUUCAUCUUAAUGUAGGUGCUAAAAGAUUGGCUGUUCCACGAAGAGACAUUCCCUCCAGGACAGCAAAUCUCUUCUUGCUGACGUCUGUGUUAGCACAAGGCAAUGAGACUGUAAAUUUGAUCCCCAGCCUCUCUUGCUCUCUGCUGCUCUCCAGUCUGUUGAGGUAGAGGUCUUUUCUCAUGAACCUCGGGAACAGCAGCUUUAACCCUGCGCACCUGAGCCACCAUAAGCAAGAUGGAAUCUUUCCCCGGUUCUAAGAAAUGGGAAGAGAGGUCGCCUGAAGAGACCUUUUUCCCAAGCAAGAGCAGAAAGCAGGUGCAAGCUGGAAGAACAGGGGAUCCCUCAAGUUAGACUGAAAGUAAAUAUGCCUUUGACAUCUCAGGGCUUCUGCUGCUGGUUUCACAUGAACCCAUGGGAUGGCAGUGUUUGCAGUGCUGCCCAGCUGGAUGAGGUCUCCUCAGUGCGUGCAGGCAGCAGAUAGAGUCUUCAUGGCUGAUCUUGAGUCCCAGAAAUCAUACAUCGUGGGAUGCUUAUUUGUAUUUUAGUGCACGGGGGAAGUAUAGAGGAAGAAUUUUUUAUUGCUGAUCUAUGAACCAGUAUGGAAGCAAGAUGAAAGUAGUCUGAUAUUUCCAUCUGAACUGGAAGGAAAUCCCAUCAAGAAGCAUUUUCUAGUCCUAAUGUAAUGCAGCCUUGCCAGACCUGGCACUUAGGUGGCUCCAAAUCCUUGCACAAAUGCAGAUUUCACAGGGAUGGGAGAAUCAGUACAUCAUCUGCUGUGACUGCAGUCGAAGCCAACUUGGCAAAGUUGUUUCAGUCUGAUUUCAUUCCACUCGGCCACACUCUGAUCAUCAUCCAUUAGUGUGCACUGAGAGCACAUGGGAACAGACAAACCUUGCAGGAACAAACAACAAGCAUAGCGGUCAGUGGAGAAAUCCUCAGUCCCUGUGCACAUGAAGCUGAUGGAUCACUGACUUGAAGAGCCAGGUGGUAAUACCCCUUGAGGAAGACACUCCCUGGCAACUUGGAAACCUUGACAUCUGGCUAACCUUCAGCUGGUGGGUGUCUGGCAUUCUCCAUUCACUGCCUAAUUCUGCCCCUGAGACCAAGAAACACCGGACACCAUGGAUCACAGAGCCACUGGACCCCAUGAUGGUGCCUGUUCCCUUUGCAAAAUUCUGUGACUGCCUUGAAGCUGUGAUUUGGCACCACAAGCAAAAAAUCUGUGUGGAUAUGAUGCUAUAUAUUUAUCAAUGACAACUGUGAUCUGGAGACUAAGGGCUUUCACAAUGCAACAGUCUUUAUUCUGGAGGAGUUCAAGUCACAGAGAACUGGUUCAUAAGCAAAUGUUUAGCUUGAAAUAUGUCAGUGAAGCAUCCUAAAUUGUGAGAGAUCUCCAAUGUGUUGUUUAUAUAAAGUGAUAUUUUUGUAAACUCCAUUAAGUCUUAUGCUGUUUUUGUGCAGUGCAAUCAGACUAUUCUUUGGGGUGGAGCUGUGUACUGAGAGGGGGAAGGGAGACAAUUUUCCCUUUACCAUGUAGGGUAGGCAGGAUAUUUGAAAUAGAGCUGGGCCUUUUUGCCAAGUGAUGGUAUGUCUGGUUUAAUGUAGGUCAAUCCUUUUACUAACUUAGGGCUCAUUUGCUUUCAGUGAGUAUGAAAUUGUGCUUUCUUAGUAUUGUUUUGUCUUUUUUACAUUUGUCUGAGAAAAAGCAACAAGUUGAAGAGAAGGUGAUUAGUCAUCAGGAGUUUCAGAUGGCAAACGAGUGCAGGUGUGAGAUGCCUUUAUUUGAGGAUGCUGCAUAAACAUCAUUAAACAUAUGAUAAAAUGGAAAUAAGAGUUUCCCAGUCUGUAUGCGCAAAUGUUUGGCGUGGAGAUUACUGAUGAAGAGUUUGAGCUGCUACUUGACAGAAUCCCCCUUGAUGAAGAUGGAAAUGUCAGAUACCCCCAGUUCAUGGCCAGGUUUGAUUCCUGAGGGCCGUGUGGAAUCGUCCUAAUCCGGGAAGAGCCACUGCCUCCCUGUGUGAUCUGACACAGUGACAUAUCACUUGACCUCGGUCGCGGCAGCUGUACAGCGAGGUGGAAAAGGCGGCUGACGGACAAGCAGGGGAUGCCUUUCAGCACAGCUUCCUCGGGGUAAACCACCGGCAAACUCACGGCUUGGCUUCUUUCUCACUCACCCACGAGUUUCAGAUCAAAUUCAGGUUCUGCAUAGUUUCGCUUGGAUUUGCCUGUUGGUUGUUCUUUUUAAUACAGUGGAAGCGAG
ensembl:lncRNA